GCCGGGCACAGUGGUGUGUGGCUAUAGUCCCAGCUAUAAUAUUUGGGAGGCUGACGUAGGAGGAUUGUUUGAGACCAGGAAUUCUGGGCUGUAGUGCUCUAUGCUGAUUGAGUGUCCACACUGAGUUUGGUAUCAAUAUGAUGAGCGAAGGACCACCAGAUUGCCUAAGGAGGGGUGAACUGGUCCAGGUUGAACAUGGAACAGGUCAAAAUUCCUGUGCUGAUUAGUAGUGGGAUCGCACUUGUGAAUAUCCACUGCACUACAGCCUGGACAACAUAGCCAGACUCUGUCU
rnacentral:SRP_RNA from 10 species